CCUGUCUCGUAUUGGCCUUUUUAGCCACCAGCGUGCUUGUAACAAUUGUGGGUAAAGCCCUUCCCAAAUCUUCAUUCACGAAGCCCAGCCAUGAUGAUGAUGUAAUGAGAGAAUACAAAAGGCGCGAUUUUCAAAUGGUUGGUGUGCCUUUAGGUCCAUGUGACCUGAAGUGCACCCAGCACGCUGCAGUAAAGAACUUCUCGCCACACUUUCUUUGUCCUACAGGUAUAUUUUUUCUGUUUUUAAAUUUAAAGAAAGGAUUUUUCCUACAAAGUCAAGUAAUGCCUCUUUACAAAUAAGCAGAAAGCCUGUAGUCUGGUAACAGGGACCUCAUCUGAGAGAUAAGAAAACAGCGUGAUUUAGAGAAGGGACAAGUUGUGUCUUCUACCUUUUAGGUGAGUGUCCUAAUCCAUAGGCAAUAGGUGAUUCUAGGAUGGGAGCUUCUCCUUCUGGGGCAACUUCUGUUGUGAAACAAAAAGAAAAUAAGGCAUUGAAAAAGGCAGUAAGAGUCUGGCCUUAAAGCUAGUCGACAAGAGCGGCCUUCUAGGAUAUCUGAGACUCAUGAGACUCUGGCCUUCUGGACUCAGGAUGUAAUCUUGAACAAAGCUCUCUUGUAAGCCAGAGAAUUUCUCAUCCAUCCUGAAAGGAGAGUUUUCAGGUUAUGGAAAUGGAAGGUCAAGAAGUUGCAGUCACCUUUAAGAGACAACUGUAGUCUGUUUUUUGAAUCUCCUCCAGCAUUCUCCACCUGCCAGAUGACAUGACAAGUUGCUGAAAAAAACAACCAAAGAAGGACCUAUCCUUUCCAUCUCAAUGCAAGGAAUUCAAUCUGGAAAAUCUUGAAACACUUGAAAAUUCCUUAAAAAUCCCCCAAACUUCUGGAAGAAAAAUUAAGCUGAUUGAAAUGUUUAAUGAUGGCACCUUUUCAUUUAUGAUACACUGUAUUCUAAUGCUAUGCUAGUUUAAAUUGAAACCAUAGUGAUUUAGAAAUUAAAAUGUUUUGCUCUGAAAAAAAUAAAAAUUGUAUACUUUGAAGCUGCCAGAACAUUUUUAUGCCAUUCUUAAAACACUUUCACAGAAUUGACAUGAUUUCAAAAGGUAUUCUUCUUGAAGGAGCUGCCUUUUCAAAGAAAAGGUUUCCACUGAUGUAUUUUCUUUGACCAUUUUAAAGCUCCUGCACUACACUUAUUUAGAAAAAGCACAUGGAGUAGUGAUUGUGACACUUUCCAGUGGUUAGUGCAAAUUUAUUUUUAAAACAUUGUAUCUUAUUCUCAGCAAUGAGCUCUUGUUUUGGUCCUGAUGCCACUAUUUUGCUUUGGUCAACUGAAAACUCCCAUCUCAGUUACAUCCACGCAAAAAGGAAGGAAAUGUUAAUAAAGGAUCACAAGCUGCAUAACAGAACGAGACAGUUCAAGAGGCUUGUGCAGGAGCUUUCCACGUAGUGGACUCUUCAGGUUGGUCCCUAAAGAGAACAAGUGAUAUUUCCCCUGUUUGCAAUAUUCAUCCCCAUUCUGAGAAGAGAACUGCCACAGGGAUAGUAAAGAGACAGUGUGCUCUAACAUUCAAAUGACUGCAGUAGAUGACCUAAAAUGUGUCAUCCUGUGUUAUUCUGAUGUCAUAUAUUGCAUGCCUUUGCUCGGAAGUAUCACUAUGUUCUUGAAACACGUGAGGUAAGCAAGCACACAGCCGUGACCCUUUAACUUGAGAGGAAAUUAGUACCAGUGCUCUUGUAAAUGAUUACAAAAUUUUGGGGGAUAGAGUAGAAACUGACAUUCAGAAGGAAUUGGAUCUACAGCUAUCAAAUGGCCUAUCCAUUUCUGGCACAUUAGAAAUAUGUGGUUUGUUUCCUCUGUAUUAGCUGGGAUAGAGACACAUUCUCUGUGUUACCCAUAAUCUUGGGUAGAGAAGCAAAACUGUAAUGAUUGGAUUCAUAAGCUGUAAAAAUGGUUUUCUCAUCAUUUAUGACAACAGUAAAUCAUUCAGACUAAAAACCAGACUUGUGCUAUGUCCACUCGGGUGUAACCUUCUACUGCUUAGGGACAGCUCUGCUCGAGGAUGAGAGAUUGAUUGGUCUGAAAGACGAUAUGAUGCAAACAGGGCAUUCAGAUGACAUCGCCCUUUUCAUUGACUUUCCUAAAGACUUAACAUUCCUUGUAAGUCUAAAAGUUCUUUUAGAGAACCAUAAACCAUGGCUCCAGUCUUUCACAGAGAGGGAUGCCUAAAAAAUUAAUCCUCUGAUGGAGUUUGUGGGGCUAAUUUGAGUGUUUUUCAUACAUCACUUUCAGCUUUGACUGUGACUUGGCAUUUUUAAGGGUGUUUCCUCAAUAUUGGCUACUUCCAUGAAGUCAUUUCACCCAACAUGGGAAGAUGUCCACUUUUGUAGUGAGAUGCAUGACCACCCUCUAGUGAUGCACAGCAACCCAGUGACAAAGUGAGGCACCAUGGCUUAUCUGACAGGGUGAACAGGAGGAUGUGGACGGAGAACUGCUGGAGUGUACUCACAACACAGAGUGGCAGCAAGUUGAUGAAAAUAACUA